rnacentral:rRNA from 1 species
AUUGAACGCUGGCGGCAGGCUUAACACAUGCAAGUCGAGCGGAGUUGAGGUGCUUGCACCUUAUCUUAGCGGCGGACGGGUGAGUAAUGCUUAGGAAUCUGCCUAUUAGUGGGGGACAACAUUCCGAAAGGAAUGCUAAUACCGCAUACGCCCUACGGGGGAAAGCAGGGGAUCUUCGGACCUAGCGCUAAUAGAUGAGCCUAGGUCGGAUUAGCUAGUUGGUGGGGUAAAGGCCUACCAAGGCGACGAUCUGUAGCGGGUCUGAGAGGAUGAUCGGCCACACUGGGACUGAGACACGGCCCAGACUCCUACGGGAGGCAGCAGUGGGGAAUAUUGGACAAUGGGCGGAAGCCUGAUCCAGCCAUGCCGCGUGUGUGAAGAAGGCCUUUUGGUUGUAAAGCACUUUAAGCGAGGAGGAGGCUACCUGGAUUAAUACUCUAGGAUAGUGGACGUUACUCGCAGAAUAAGCACCGGCUAACUCUGUGCCAGCCGCCGCAGUAAUAC